rnacentral:rRNA from 1 species
AUUGAACGCUGGCGGCAGGCCUAACACAUGCAAGUCGAACGAGUGGCGGACGGGUGAGUAAUGUCUGGGAAACUGCCUGAUGGAGGGGGAUAACUACUGGAAACGGUAGCUAAUACCCAAUACCACCGGUGGGCCCCGGAUGGGAUUAGCUGGUGGGGGGGGUAACGGCUCACCUAGGCGACGAUCCCUAGCUGGUCUGAGAGGAUGACCAGCCACACUGGAACUGAGACACGGUCCAGACUCCUACGGGAGGCAGCAGUGGGGAAUAUUGCACAAUGGGCGCAAGCCUGAUGCAGCCAUGCCGCGUGUAUGAAGAAGGCCUUCGGGUUGUAAAGUACUUUCAGCGGGGAGGCGUUACCCGCAGAAGAAGCACCGGCUAACUCCGUGCCAGCAGCCGCGGUAAUAC